GGGGAUUUAGCUCAGUGGUAGAGCGCUUGCCUAGCAAGCGCAAGGUCCUGGGUUGGGUUCCCAGCUCCA
rnacentral:tRNA from 1 species